GACGAACGCUGGCGGCGUGCUUAACACAUGCAAGUCGAACGAGAUCCAAUGUGUAGCAAUACACAGGAAGUUCUAGUGGCGAACGGGUGAGGAACACGUGAGAAACGUACUCCAGACUUUGUGAUAACAGUCCGAAAGGACUGCUAAUACCUAAUAACGUCGGACGUCCGCAUGGACAUUUGACGAAAGGGUUUCCGGCUUGUGUGCGUCUAGCGGCCCUAUCAGCUAGUUGGAGUGAUAACGGCCCACCAAGGCAACGACGGGUAGCUUGUCUGAGAGGAUGGUCAGCCACACUGAGACUAAGACACAGCCCAGACUCCUACGGGAGGCAGGAGUGGGGAAUCUUGCGACAUGGCCGGAAGCCUGACGCAGCAACGCCGCGUGCGGGAAGAAAGCUUUCGAGAAGUAAACCGCUUUCAGUAGGGACGAAACUGACGGUACCUACAGAAGAAGGAGCGGCCAACUAUGUG
rnacentral:rRNA from 1 species